rnacentral:tRNA from 1 species
AUGUAGGUAGUAUAUAUUUAGAGUAUUCUGUCUUUCCAAGUCAGAGGUCCCGGUGGCGGGCCUAUAUA